GACGAACGCUGGCGGCGUGCCUAAUACAUGCGAGUCGAACGCUGAAGGAGGAGCUUGCUCUUCUGGAUGAGUUGCGAACGGGUGAGUAACGCGUAGGUAACCUGCCUGGUAGCGGGGGAUAACUAUUGGAAACGAUAGCUAAUACCGCAUAAAAUUGAUUAUUGCAUGAUAGUCAAUUAAAAGGUGCAAUUGCAUCACUACCAGAUGGACCUGCGUUGUAUUAGCUAGUUGGUGAGGUAACGGCUCACCAAGGCAACGAUACAUAGCCGACCUGCGAGGGUGAUCGGCCACACUGGGACUGAGACACGGCCCAGACUCCUACGGGAGGCAGCAGUAGGGAAUCGUCGGCAAUGGACGGAAGUCUGACCGAGAAACGCCGCGUGAGGGAAGAAGGUUUUCGGAUCGUAAAGCUCUGUUGUAAGAGAAGAACGAGUGUGAGAGUGGAAAGUUCACACUGUGACGGUAGCUUACCAGAAAGGGACGGCUAACUACGUG
rnacentral:rRNA from 1 species